UACGGAGGGGGCUAGCGUUGUUCGGAAUUACUGGGCGUAAAGCGCGCGUAGGCGGCUUUGUAAGUUAGAGGUGAAAGCCCGGAGCUCAACUCCGGAAUUGCCUUUAAGACUGCAUCGCUAGAAUCAUGGAGAGGUGAGUGGAAUUCCGAGUGUAGAGGUGAAAUUCGUAGAUAUUCGGAAGAACACCAGUGGCGAAGGCGGCUCACUGGACGACUGUUGACGCUGAGGUGCGAAAGCGUGGGGAUCAAACAGG
rnacentral:rRNA from 1 species